AUUGAACGCUGGCGGCAUGCCUUACACAUGCAAGUCGAACGGUAACAGGUCUUCGGAUGCUGACGAGUGGCGAACGGGUGAGUAAUACAUCGGAACGUGCCUAGUAGUGGGGGAUAACUACUCGAAAGAGUGGCUAAUACCGCAUGAGAUCUACGGAUGAAAGCAGGGGAUCGCAAGACCUUGUGCUACUAGAGCGGCCGAUGGCAGAUUAGGUAGUUGGUGGGAUAAAAGCUUACCAAGCCGACGAUCUGUAGCUGGUCUGAGAGGACGAUCAGCCACACUGGGACUGAGACACGGCCCAGACUCCUACGGGAGGCAGCAGUGGGGAAUUUUGGACAAUGGGCGCAAGCCUGAUCCAGCAAUGCCGCGUGCAGGAUGGAGGCCUCGGGUUGUAAACUGCUUUUGUACGGAACGAAAAGCCCUGGGUCAAUACCCUGGGGUCAUGACGGUACCGUAAGAAUAAGCACCGGCUAACUACGUGCCAGCCGCCGCGGUAACAC
rnacentral:rRNA from 1 species